rnacentral:rRNA from 1 species
UAAAACUUCCAACAACGGAUCUCUUGGUUCUGGCAUCGAUGAAGAACGCAGCGAAAUGCGAUAAGUAAUGUGAAUUGCAGAAUUCAGUGAAUCAUCGAAUCUUUGAACGCACAUUGCGCCCUCUGGUAUUCCAGAGGGCAUGCCUGUUCGAGCGUCAUUU